rnacentral:rRNA from 1 species
ACGGGUGAGUAACGCGUGGGAACGUGCCUUCUGGUUCGGAAUAACUCAGGGAAACUUGAGCUAAUACCGGAUACGCCCUUUUUGGGGAAAGGUUUACUGCCGGAAGAUCGGCCCGCGUCUGAUUAGCUAGUUGGUGGGGUAACGGCCUACUAAGGCGACGAUCAGUAGCUGGUCUGAGAGGAUGAUCAGCCACACUGGGACUGAGACACGGCCCAGACUCCUACGGGAGGCAGCAGUGGGGAAUAUUGGACAAUGGGCGCAAGCCUGAUCCAGCUAUGCCGCGUGAGUGAUGAAGGCCUUAGGGUUGUAAAGCUCUUUUAUCCGGGACGAUAAUGACGGUACCGGAGGAAUAAGCCCCGGCUAACUUCGUGCCAGCAGCCGCGGUAAUACGAAGGGGGCUAGCGUUGCUCGGAAUCACUGGGCGUAAAGGGCGCGUAGGCGGUCUUUUAAGUCGGGGGUGAAAGCCUGUGGCUCAACCACAGAAUUGCCUUCGAUACUGGGAGACUUGAGUUCGGAAGAGGUUGGUGGAACUGCGAGUGUAGAGGUGAAAUUCGUAGA